rnacentral:rRNA from 1 species
ACUGGGCGUAAGCGCACGCAGGCGGUCUGUCAAGUCGGAUGUGAAAUCCCCGGGCUCAACCUGGGAACUGCAUUCGAAACUGGCAGGCUAGAGUCUUGUAGAGGGGGGUAGAAUUCCAGGUGUAGCGGUGAAAUGCGUAGAGAUCUGGAGGAAUACCGGUGGCGAAGGCGGCCCCCUGGACAAAGACUGACGCUCAGGUGCGAAAGCGUGGGGAGCAAACAGGAUUAGAUACCCUGGUAGUCCACGCCGUAAACGAUGUCGACUUGGAGGUUGUGCCCUUGAGGCGUGGCUUCCGGAGCUAACGCGUUAAGUCGACCGCCUGGGGAGUACGGCCGCAAGGUUAAAACUCAAAUGAAUUGACGGGGGCCCGCACAAGCGGUGGAGCAUGUGGUUUAAUUCGAUGCAACGCGAAGAACCUUACCUACUCUUGACAUCCAGAGAACUUUCCAGAGAUGGAUUGGUGCCUUCGGGAACUCUGAGACAGGUGCUGCAUGGCUGUCGUCAGCUCGUGUUGUGAAAUGUUGGGUUAAGUCCCGCAACGAGCGCAACCCUUAUCCUUUGUUGCCAGCGGUCAGGCCGGGAACUCAAAGGAGACUGCCAGUGAUAAACUGGAGGAAGGUGGGGAUGACGUCAAGUCAUC